rnacentral:rRNA from 1 species
AUUUAACGCUGGCGGAAUGCUUUACACAUGCAAGUCGAACGGCAGCACGGGGGCAACCCUGGUGGCGAGUGGCGAACGGGUGAGUAAUACAUCGGAACGUGCCCAGUCGUGGGGGAUAACGUAGCGAAAGUUACGCUAAUACCGCAUACGAUCUACGGAUGAAAGCGGGGGAUCGCAAGACCUCGCGCGAUUGGAGCGGCCGAUGUCAGAUUAGGUAGUUGGUGGGGUAAAGGCUCACCAAGCCGACGAUCUGUAGCUGGUCUGAGAGGACGACCAGCCACACUGGGACUGAGACACGGCCCAGACUCCUACGGGAGGCAGCAGUGGGGAAUUUUGGACAAUGGACGAAAGUCUGAUCCAGCCAUUCCGCGUGCAGGACGAAGGCCUUCGGGUUGUAAACUGCUUUUGUACGGAACGAAAAAGCCUUGGCUAAUACCCAGGGUCCAUGACGGUACCGUAAGAAUAAGCACCGGCUAACUACGUGCCAGCAGCCGCGGUAAUACGUAGGGUGCGAGCGUUAAUCGGAAUUACUGGGCGUAAAGCGUGCGCAGGCGGUUUUGUAAGACAGAGGUGAAAUCCCCGGGCUCAACCUGGGAACUGCCUUUGUGACUGCAAGGCUAGAGUGCGGCAGAGGGGGAUGGAAUUCCGCGUGUAGCAGUGAAAUGCGUAGAUAUGCGGAGGAACACCGAUGGCGAAGGCAAUCCCCUGGGCCUGCAC